rnacentral:sRNA from 2 species
AUGAUGAGACUGCCGAAUUCUCGGACACAGCCGAGAAGCGGGGGAACCAAUUAGUACUGGGUGAAUUGAUCUCGCCUGAAGCAGAGAUCAUAGGGAACCUUCAACCGAACCCUCCAGCUAACCUCGCAGGCACGGAAGGAGAACAU